UACGUAGGGGGCAAGCGUUGUCCGGAAUCAUUGGGCGUAAAGCGCGUGUAGGCGGCCCGAUAAGUCCGCUGUGAAAGUCCAGGGCUCAACCCUGGGAUGCCGGUGGAUACUGUCGGGCUCGAGUCCGGAAGAGGAGUGUGGAAUUCCUGGUGUAGCGGUGAAAUGCGCAGAUAUCGGGAAGAACACCCGUGGCGAAGGCGGCUCUCUGGGACGGUACUGACGCUGAGACGCGAAAGCGUGGGGAGCGAACAGG
rnacentral:rRNA from 1 species